GGAGUCGGACAGGCUGUCGCCGCGGACCGCAAGGCCCGGGGAGGAAAGUCCGGGCUCCGCAGGGCAGGACGCUGGAUAACGUCCAGCGGAAGCGAUUCCGGGAAAGUGCCACAGAAAACAAACCGCCCGCCGCAAGGCGGGUAAGGGUGAAACGGUGGGGUAAAAGCCCACCAGCGGUCGCGGUGACGCGGCCGGCUAGGCAAACCCCGUCCGGAGCAAGGCCAAAUAGGGAGGCGCAUACGGUCGGCCCGGCCGUUGCCUCCGGGUAGGCUGCUUGAGGCCUGGAGCAAUCCAGGCCCUAGAGGAAUGACGGCUGCCCCGCAAGGGGAACAGAACCCGGCUUAUCGUCCGACUCCAUGC
rfam:Desulfovibrio africanus str. Walvis Bay, complete genome.